GAACGCUAGCGACAGGCCUAACACAUGCAAGUCGAGGGGCGAGCACAAGGAGCAAUCUGAGGUGGCGACCGGCGCACGGGUGAGUAACACGUAUGCAACCUGCCUGUAAGCGGGGAAUAACCCGUUGAAAGACGGACUAAUACCGCAUAAUACUAAAUUACUGCAUGGUAAUUUAUUUAAACAUUUAUGGCUUACAGAUGGGCAUGCGCAUGAUUAGCUAGUUGGAGAGGUAACGGCUCCCCAAGGCAACGAUCAUUAGGGGUUCUGAGAGGAAGGUCCCCCCACACUGGUACUGAGACACGGACCAGACUCCUACGGGAGGCAGCAGUGAGGAAUAUUGGUCAAUGGACGAGAGUCUGAACCAGCCAAGUCGCGUGCAGGAAGAAUGUCCUAUGGAUUGUAAACUGCUUUUGCAGGGGAAUAAAGUGCAUCACGUGUGAUGUUUUGUAUGUACUCUGCGAAUAAGGAUCGGCUAACUCCGUGCCAGCCGCCGC
rnacentral:rRNA from 1 species